GACGAACGCUGGCGGCGUGCUUAACACAUGCAAGUCGAACGGAAAGGCCCUGCUUUUGUGGGGUGCUCGAGUGGCGAACGGGUGAGUAACACGUGAGUAACCUGCCCUUGACUUUGGGAUAACUUCAGGAAACUGGGGCUAAUACCGGAUAGGAGCUCCUGCUGCAUGGUGGGGGUUGGAAAGUUUCGGCGGUUGGGGAUGGGCUCGCGGCUUAUCAGCUUGUUGGUGGGGUAGUGGCUUACCAAGGCUUUGACGGGUAGCCGGCCUGAGAGGGUGACCGGCCACAUUGGGACUGAGAUACGGCCCAGACUCCUACGGGAGGCAGCAGUGGGGAAUAUUGCACAAUGGGCGGAAGCCUGAUGCAGCAACGCCGCGUGCGGGAUGACGGCCUUCGGGUGGUAAACCGCUUUCGCCUGUGACGAAGCGUGAGUGACGGUAAUGGGUAAAGAAGCACCGGCUAACGACGU
rnacentral:rRNA from 1 species